AUUGAACGCUGGCGGCAUGCCUUACACAUGCAAGUCGAACGGCAGCACGGGUGGUUCUUCCUGGUGGCGAGUGGCGGACGGGUGCGUAUUAGAUCGGAACAUGUCCCGACGUGGUGGAUAGCGCGGCGAAAGCCGGAUUUAUACUGCAUACGCAUAACGGCUGAGAGUGGGAGACGUUCAGGUUUCGAGCUUUCGCGUUGGCCGAUGGCGAUGUCGGAUUUGCUAGUUGGUGGGGUAAAGGCCCACCAAGGCGACGAUCCGUAGCUGGUCUGAGAGGACGACCAGCCACACUGGGACUGAGACACGGCCCAGACUCCUACGGGAGGCAGCAGUGGGGAAUUUUGGACAAUGGGCGAAAGCCUGAUCCAGCAAUGCCGCGUGUGUGAAGAAGGCCUUCGGGUUGUAAAGCACUUUUGUCCGGAAAGAAAACCUUGACUCUAAUACAGUCGGGGGAUGACGGUACCGAAAGAAUAAGCACCGGCUAACUACGUG
rnacentral:rRNA from 1 species